rnacentral:rRNA from 1 species
GAGUUUGAUCAUGGCUCAGGACGAACGCUUGCGACGUGCCUAAGAAAUGCAAGUCGAACGGGGUAGCAAUACCUAGUGGCGAACGGUCGCGUAACACGUGGGCAACCUGCCUUGAAGCGGGGGACAACAAUCCGAAAGGGUUGCUAAUACCGCAUGUAAACUCUUGUGGCAUCACGAGAUGUUCAAAGCUUUAUGCACUUCAAGAUGGGCCCGCGGCCUAUCAGCUAGUUGGCGGGGUAACGGCCCACCAAGGCUUCGACGGGUAGCUGGUCUGAGAGGACGAUCAGCCGGAUUGGGACUGAGAUACGGCCCAGACUCCUACGGGGGGCAGCAAUUAGGAAUCUUGCGCAAUGGGGGCAACCCUGACGCAGCGACGUCGCGUGGAGGAUGAAAUCUUUCGGGAUGUAAACUCCUUUUACCAGGGAAGAAACAAAUGACGGUACCUGGUGAAUAAGCCCCGGCUAACUACGUGCCAGCAGCCGCGGUAAUACG